GACGAACGCUGGCGGCGUGCCUAAUACAUGCAAGUAGAACGCUGAAGGAGGAGCUUGCUUCUCCGGAUGAGUUGCGAACGGGUGAGUAACGCGUAGGUAACCUGCCUGGUAGCGGGGGAUAACUAUUGGAAACGAUAGCUAAUACCGCAUAACAGUAGAUGUUGCAUGACAUUUGCUUAAAAGGUGCAAUUGCAUCACUACCAGAUGGACCUGCGUUGUAUUAGCUAGUUGGUGAGGUAACGGCUCACCAAGGCGACGAUACAUAGCCGACCUGAGAGGGGGAUCGGCCACACUGGGACUGAGACACGGCCCAGACUCCUACGGGAGGCAGCAGUAGGGAAUCUUCGGCAAUGGACGGAAGGCUGACCGAGCAACGCCGCGUGAGUGAAGAAGGUUUUCGGAUCGUAAAGCUCUGUUGUAAGAGAAGAACGAGUGUGAGAAUGGAAAGUUCACACUGUGACGGUAUCUUACCAGAAAGGGACGGCUAACUACGUG
rnacentral:rRNA from 1 species